rnacentral:misc_RNA from 1 species
AAGUCGUAACAAGGUCUCCGUUGGUGAACCAGCGGAGGGAUCAUUACCGAGUCACGUGCUCAAAUAACCCUUCUGUGGACUUGAAUUAAAACCGUUGCCUCGGCGGGCGGUCCCCUGCCAAAACCCACGUGGUGUGGGUAGGGGACCAGACAGUCCGGCACGCUUAAGGCGUCCGGCGCCAGCCGCUGGCCCUAAACAAUUAAACUCUAGUAACCUUACCUUCUGAGUUUUAAUGCAAAAAAAUAAGUCAAAACUUUCAACAACGGAUCUCUUGGCUCUG